CGUGUAUAUUCAGUUAACACAAAAUCAAACAUACAAAGUGCACACAAUGACGAUUUAAAAUAAUGCACCAAUAAUAAAGGCACGAUAAAUGGGCAAACAAUUAAAUAUAUCAUGCAUAUACCAAGAUCACACGGAAUUAUUUAAAAGUAAGUUAAAGAUAUUUCAACUGUAAGCGCCGUUAUUUAAGAUGUGCUACGUUUGAUCUUUGCAGCAACAGUGAUAAUGUUCUUUACCAUCCUUAUAACUUAUAAACAGUCUCGCUGCUGCUGUUUUGUCCUCUGGUCUCACCUUUUCACAUAUUCUUCUGUAUGCUAGUUAUAUUUGACCGAAUAAUUAUUUUUUUGAAACGGUAAACGUACGGGAUUAAGACACAUACAAAUGUGUAUUAAAUAUGCCAUACUCUAAAUUGCUCCGAAUGAAAAAAAGGUGGUGUAUCACCCACCAAUCCUAUGUGUAUAUAUCGAUUAGUCAUCCAGAAAG
rnacentral:lncRNA from 1 species